CUAAGCAUGAAGCCCCCCUCAAGAUGAGAUUUCCCAACUUCGGUUAUAAGAUCCCUCAAAGAUGAUGAGGUUAAUAGGUUCGAGGUGGAAGCGUGGUGACACGUGGAGCUGACGAAUACUAAUCGAUCGAAGACUUAAUCAA
rnacentral:rRNA from 1 species